rnacentral:rRNA from 1 species
GUGCCAGCCGCCGCGGUAAUACGAAGGGGGCUAGCGUUGUUCGGAAUUACUGGGCGUAAAGCGCGUGUAGGCGGGUCGUUAAGUCGGGGGUGAAAGCCCAGAGCUCAACUCUGGAACUGCCUUCGAUACUGGCGACCUGGACCCAAGUAGAGGCGGGUGGAAUUGCGAGUGUAGAGGUGAAAUUCGUAGAUAUUCGCAGGAACACCAGUGGCGAAGGCGACUCGCUGGACUUGUGGUGACGCUGAGACGCGAAAGCGUGGGUAGCAAACAGGAUUAGAAACCCCCGUAGUCC